AGAGAGAGACAUGCGCGCAUAUCAAUAAGCGGAGGAAAAGAAACUAACAAGGAUUCCCUUAGUAACGGCGAGUGAAGCGGGAAGAGCUCAAAUUUGAAAUCUUCAAGGUUCUACCUUGACGAAUUGUAGUUUAAAGAAGUGUUUUCUGCUGAAGUUUUGGUAAAAGUUCUUUGGAAUAGGACAUCAUAGAGGGUGAGAAUCCCGUAUUUGACCAUUAUUUUCAGCUUUGUGAUACACUUUCAAAGAGUCGGAUUGUUUGGGAAUGCAGUCCAAAAUGGGUGGUAAAUUUCAUCUAAAGCUAAAUAUUGGCGAGAGACCGAUAGCGAACAAGUACCGUGAGGGAAAGAUGAAAAGAACUUUGAAAAGAGAGUUAAACAGUACGUGAAAUUGUCUAAAGGGAAGCGUUUGACACCAGUGUUGUUUUCUCGAAAAUCAAUUAAAAAUGGCUCGAUUUUGUAUUGCUUGAGACCUUAAAAGCUCACUGUACAUUUUUCGUGUCUUUUUUAAUGCACUUUUCGUUUAACAAGUCAACAUCAGUUUCUUUUGUUGUAAAAGGGUCAUUGGAAGGUGGCUUUCUUUUCGGAGAAAGUGUUUAUAGCCUUUGGCCUCUGCAAUCGAAGAGACUGAGGUCUGCAGCGUAGACUCUUCGGGGUUAGAUACAUUUGUGCUAAGUUAUAGCUUUUUAUAGACAACUUGUUGACUAUAAUUAGUCUUGUAGCUUACUCGCUUAUGCUAUUUUACCUACGCUUAGGAUGUUGAAGAUGUAGCACAUCA
rnacentral:rRNA from 1 species